GUUUUUAGGAAUCAGAGGCAGAUGGUUUAAGAGCUCUGGGAUGUUUGGGGUGACCUUGGGGAGGUCUAACUGCAGCGCAAAAUUGCAAAUGGGCUGUCACAUGCCUUUGUUGGAUGGGGCUCUUUGCAGUGAGGUGCUGUCACUCACGUCUGGUGCCUGCUGAACCGUGGGGCUGUGACACCUCCUGGAACAUCCUUUGGUUCUUGUCAGCAGUGAAGAGCUCAGCCCUUCCCGGCCUGAUCUGGGCUGCUCUGAGGGAAACCAGUGGGCAGAAGGUCACACACAACAGCCAGAGACAGCCACCACUCUGCAGCUGCCAGGUGACAGAAAGGAGUGAGUGUUAGCCAUCACCAGGGCUGGAUCAGCACAGAGACAUGGAUCUUCUGUGGUGGCUUUCAACACCCUCAAAGGCAUCUAAUUGUUCAGGACAGAGUGAGUAUCUGCACUUACAGAAAUCAAGGCUGGAGUGGAACUCCCCUGAAAGCCAGGCACCGGGAAGCCAAGAUUAGUUUUCAGAAACAAUUUGCACUAUUUAUGCAGCUGGAAUGCCACUGCAUUUUGAUGUGGACUCUCCCUUUUCAACAAAGGACUGAGAAAAUUGCCACACAAAUUCCAGGAGCUUCCCAGCAGCUCUGAGGCAUCACCAGCAGAGCCAUUUCCAACGUACAAAUACCAAGGCACCAACAGAAGAAAAGCAGAGUUCAGUCCCAGAAGCAGCUCUGGCUCCGCUCUCAGGGGCUCUCAUGGAGGGGUGGGCUUGUGUUGAGGGCCUCAGCUGCUUUCUCAGAGCUCUGGGGGCUGUGCUGGCCUUUUGGCAGGGGUGAGCUCCUGGGAGAGGCUCCUGUCCCCAGCAGUGGCAGCACAGGGCACAGGU